UACGAAGGGGGCUAGCGUUGCUCGGAAUCACUGGGCGUAAAGCGCACGUAGGCGGAUUGUUAAGUCAGGGGUGAAAUCCUGGAGCUCAACUCCAGAACUGCCUUUGAUACUGGCGAUCUUGAGUCCGGGAGAGGUGAGUGGAACUGCGAGUGUAGAGGUGAAAUUCGUAGAUAUUAGGAAGAACACCAGUGGCGAAGGCGGCUCACUGGCCCGGUGCUGACGCUGAGGCGCGAAAGCGUGGGGAGCAAACAGG
rnacentral:rRNA from 1 species